AUUGAACGCUGGCGGAAUGCUUUACACAUGCAAGUCGAACGGCAGCACGGACUUCGGUCUGGUGGCGAGGGGCGAACGGGUGAGUAAUGUAUCGGAACGUGCCCAGUCGUGGGGGAUAACGUAGCGAAAGUUACGCUAAUACCGCAUACGAUCUAAGGAUGAAAGCGGGGGAUCGCAAGACCUCGCGCGAUUGGAGCGGCCGAUAUCAGAUUAGGUUGUUGGUGAGGUAAAAGCUCACCAAGCCUGCGAUCUGUAGCUGGUCUGAGAGGACGACCAGCCACACUGGAACUGCGACACGGUCCAGACUCCUACGGGAGGCAGCAGUGGGGAAUUUUGGACAAUGGACGCAAGUCUGAUCCAGCAAUGCCGCGUGCAGGACGAAGGCCUUCGGGUUGUAAACUGCUUUUGUACGGAACGAAACGGUGAGCUCUAAUGCAGUUUGCUAAUGACGGUACCGUAAGAAUAAGCACCGGCUAACUACGUGCCAGCAGCCGCCGCGG
rnacentral:rRNA from 1 species